rnacentral:rRNA from 1 species
CUGGGAUUGAAGGAAGCCCCUCCGGCGCAUGCCCACACGGCGGAGAAAACCUGCGACCCGUCUGGCAUGACCUUUGCUACCGGUGAUGCAGGCGUGUUGGACAGUACGUCGCACGAGGUCCCUGCCCUUGCCAAGCAGGUCAACAUUUUCAGGAAGAUGGUCAAGGACGGGACCAUCACGGAGAAUCAACUGACUCGCUCUGUAGCGCUCGUGGCCUUCUCCGGCAAUGACUAUGCAGGCACCGACGUCAUUGGCCUAAGUAGCCCCAACGAUAUUAAUGCUUAUAUUGGAAAGGUGACAAAAGAGAUUGCAGCUAAUGUGGAUCAAUUGUUGAAGCUUGGGGUGACCAAGGUUCUUGUCAAUAACUUGCACCCUAUCGGUUGCAUGCCAUCACACACCCGAACCAACAACUACACCACGUGUGAUCUUUUUGAAAACUUGGGUGCAUCCAUCCACAACGAUAAUCUGAAACAAGUUAUGACAUCAAAGAAGAAUGUCUACAUCGUCGACGUGUACACCGCAUUCGCUAAUAUUGUGGAUCAUGCGGCAGGUAAAGGCUCGGAGUUGUCCAAACAAUUCAAGCACAAACUAUCGCCGUGCCGCGAGAGUUUGAAUUCGAAGGGUUACUGCGGACAGCAAGACGAGUCAUCCGCGGAGCUCCUGUACACUGUGUGUGACAAGUCAAGUAAAUUUUUCUAUUGAGACGACAUGCACCCGACCCAUGCAGGAUGGAAGGUUGUGAUAAAACAAUUGGAAAAGCCCUUGAGGGAGUUUGUAAAUCAAGCCUAG